GGCCCCAAUACCUCGGCAGCCCCGUUCUGCCCGACCACGUCCUGCACGGUAUGGGGGGGUCAACUGCACCCCAUAACCCCAUAACCCCCCCAUUACCCCAUAGAUACCGCCCCAUAACCCCCUUAUAACCCCAUAGCCCCAUAGCCGCCCCAUAGCCCCAUAUAUUCUGCCCCAUAACCCCAUAGAUACGGCCCCAACACCUCGGCAGCCCCGUUCUGCCCGACCACGUCCUGCACGAGGCGGUGCCCGGCAGUAUCCGCACGGCGGAGCACUUUGUGUCCUUCCUUCGCCGCCUGCUGUGCUUCGGGGGAGGCGGUGCCCGGCAGUAUCCGCACGGCGGAGCACUUUGUGUCCUUCCUUCGCCGCCUGCUGUGCUUCGGGGGGUACC